rnacentral:rRNA from 1 species
CAGGCCUAACACAUGCAAGUCGAGCGGUAACAGGGAUAGCUUGCUAUCUGCUGACGAGCGGCGGACGGGUGCGUAACGCGUAGGAAUUUGCCCAAUAGUGGGGGAUAGCCCGGAGAAAUUCGGAUUAAUACCGCAUACCUUCUAAGGAAGAAAGCAGGGGAUCUUCGGACCUUGCGCUAUCGGAUGAGCCUGCGUCGGAUUAGCUAGUUGGUAGGGUAAAUGCCUACCAAGGCGACGAUCCGUAGCUGGUCUGAGAGGAUGAUCAGCCACACUGGGACUGAGACACGGCCCAGACUCCUACGGGAGGCAGCAGUGGGGAAUAUUGCACAAUGGGCGCAAGCCUGAUGCAGCCAUGCCGCGUGUGUGAAGAAGGCCCUAGGGUUGUAAAGCACUUUCAGCGAGGAGGAAGGGUAUCUUGCUAAUAUCAAGGUACAUUGACGUUACUCGCAGAAGAAGCACCGGCUAACUCCGUGCCAGCAGCCGCGGUAAUACGGAGAGUGCAAGCGUUAAUCGGAAUUACUGGGCGUAAAGCGUGCGUAGGCGGUUAAAUAAGUUGGAUGUGAAAGCCCUGGGCUCAACCUAGGAACUGCACCCAAAACUGUUUAACUAGAGUACGAGAGAGGAGUGUGGAAUUUCCUGUGUAGCGGUGGAAUGCGUAGAUAUAGGAAGGAACACCAGUGGCGAAGGCGGCACUCUGGCUCGAUACUGACGCUGAGGUACGAAAGCAUGGGUAGCAAACAGGAUUAGAUA